rnacentral:rRNA from 1 species
UAGAGUUUGAUCCUGGCUCAGAAUGAACGUUGGCGGCGUGGAUUAGGCAUGCAAGUCGUACGGGCCGCAAGGCCAGUGGCGCAAGGGUGAGUAAGGCGACGGUAACCAACCCCAUGACUGGGUAUAGCCGCGGGAAACUGCGGGUAAUCCCCAGCGACGUCCCGGGGGGGCAUCCCCUGGGGACCAAAGCUCCGGCGUCGUGGGACGGGCCGUCGUGGUAUUAGGUAGUUGGCGGGGUAACGGCCCACCAAGCCUGCGAUGCCUACCGGGCGUGCGAGCGCGACCCGGCACACUGGGACUGAGACACUGCCCAGACUCCUACGGGAGGCUGCAGUCGAGAAUCUUCGGCAAUGGGCGCAAGCCUGACCGAGCGACGCCGCGUGGAGGACGAAGGCCUUCGGGUUGUAAACUCCUGUCGAGGGGGAAGAAGGGCCGUAAGGCUUUGACUGAUCCCUGGAGGAAGCACGGGCUAAGUUCGUGCCAGCAGCCGCGGUAAGACGAACCGUGCGAACGUUAUUCGGAAUCACUGGGCUUAAAGCGCGUGUAGGCGGGACGGCACGUCGGUUGCUGAAAUCCCCCGGCUCAACCGGGGAACGGGCGCCGAUACGACCGCCCUGGAGGGACGUAGGGGACCUGGAACUUCCGGUGGAGCGGUGAAAUGCGUUGAGAUCGGAAGGAACGCCCGUGGCGAAAGCGAGGUCCUGGACGUUUUCUGACGCUGAGACGCGAAGGCAGGGAGCGACGUGAUAGAUACCCUGUAGUCCUGGCGUAACGAUGGCACUGAGUAGGGGCUCGCCGAUGGGCUCUUGC